AUGCCCCGCACUCCGCCCGCUCCUGCGACCCCCCAGCCCCGCUCAGGCCCGAGCGCCCGCAGUCGUCGCGCCGCCGCGCCAACCAUGCAGGUGAGUGAGAGGGACCCCCACGCCCCCACCCGCGGGGAGUCCGGCCCUGCCCUUCCCGGCUCCGCGCCCUUCGCCUCCUGCCCCUCCCGACGCGGUCCCUCGCCCGGGACAAGGCCUCCAGCCUCCCAGCGCCCCUUCCCCGAAGGGCUCUCCAUCCCUCUGCGGUCCUGGCUCGCUCCCGCCCUCCCUGGCGCAGCGGUCCCCGUCCCCGCGGCUGCCUCCAUCCAGCCUCGGCUCGGCGGGCGGCUCCGCGCAGUCUCCUGCCUCGGGUCCCUAGUCCGCUCUCGGCGCUCCCUGCCUCGGAGUCCCUUCGCCGACCUCCUUUUCUUCGUCUCCCCCGACUCUUGCCACUCUCCAGCCCUGUGCGGAGAGUGCGGGCCUGCGGGAUGGGUGGGAUGGGGGCCACGCUGGGGCUGGGGGCCGGCUCCCGCACCCCGAGGCUCCCGCCCCACCCCCAGCUCGUCUCCUGCGCACAACAGGUCGGUGAGGAGCUGGGAGAGGGGUGGGGGUGGCGCGCCAGCCCGGGGACUGCGGGCUUCCUGGAGGGGGCGGCUGAAGCUGUGCGGGGCCCAGGGGCUGGGUUGGCGCUGGUUGGGGGGGAUGCACAGGCCGAGCGGCGAUAGUCUUGGAGUCAGCUGGCCACAGAUGCGCCUGGGAGCCCUUCUCCGCUUCACUGGUUCGCUCUACACGCCUCGCUCCCUCCCUCUAGCUUUCUUCCCUUCCCCUCUCUCCCUUCUUCCCACCAUGCCCCUAUCCCUAUGUCUUUCCGUAUCUCCAUAUCCCUUUACAUUUGGGGGAGCAAUUCCCAACUCCUCCAUCUUUGCUGCUCCCGCCUCGUUUCCCAGCCCCUUCCUCAUGUCAUUUUUUCUUCAGCAUUUAUGUUCUCUCCUUUCCCACUUCCUUUCUCCCCAUCCUGGGCUCUUCCCCCUUUUUUCCCAUUCCCUUACGCUCCACUCCUCUGGCUGUCCUGCCUGGACCGCUCUCUCCUUCUCCUCCUGCCCCUUCUUCCCCUGCACCUGUGAACCCUUCAUCCUCUCCGUUUCCCCUCCCUGA
rnacentral:lncRNA from 1 species